GACGAACGCUGGCGGCGUGCUUAACACAUGCAAGUCGAACGCUGAAGCUUGGUGCUUGCACUGGGUGGAUGAGUGGCGAACGGGUGAGUAAUACGUGAGCAACCUGCCCUUGACUCUGGGAUAAGCCUGGGAAGCUGGGUCUAAUACUGGAUAUGACAUGCCACUGCAUGGUGGUGUGUGGAAAGGGUUUUACUGGUUUUGGAUGGGCUCACGGCCUAUCAGCUUGUUGGUGGGGUAAUGGCCUACCAAGGCGACGACGGGUAGCCGGCCUGAGAGGGUGACCGGCCACACUGGGACUGAGACACGGCCCAGACUCCUACGGGAGGCAGCAGUGGGGAAUAUUGCACAAUGGGCGGAAGCCUGAUGCAGCGACGCCGCGUGAGGGAUGACGGCCUUCGGGUUGUAAACCUCUUUCAGCACGGAAGAAGCGAGAGUGACGGUACGUGCAGAAGAAGCGCCGGCUAACUACGUG
rnacentral:rRNA from 1 species